AGGCUUCAUCCAGCAACUGAUGGAAGCAGAUGAAGAGACUCACGGCCAAACAUUAGGCAGAAAGAGAGAGUCCAAAUUGAAGGUCUCCAUUGGGUCCCUCCUUCUGGAGCUCAAGGAACCCCAAGGAAGAAGGCAAGAGAGGAUUGAGGAGCCAGAGGGGUUGAGGAUACCAGGAAGCCAUGGCCAACACAGUCAACUACGCAGGGCUCAUAGGCUCCCAGAGACUGAAGUGCCAAUCACAGAGCCUGCCUGGGUCUGAGGGAUAUGGAAAAUGAAAGAUUAACUGAAGAAGGGACGCCCAUGAUGAAGCCUCCAUGAGGAUAUCUACUAUGACAGGGGUACCAGUCUUUGAUACAGAUGUUUCGGGCCACACGUGCCACUCUUUGAAAAUUCUUUUUAGGGCCAGCGAGAUGGUGCAAAGGGUGAAGAAGGUUAGCCACCAAGUCUGGCAACUUGAGUUUGAUCCCCAGGACCCAUAAGGUAGGAGAAAAUCAACUCUAGUAGGAAGCCCUCUGACCUAUGGGGCGGGGGACAGAAUAAAAUACAAGGUAAAAUGUCUUUUAGAAAGAAGAAAGUGUGUAUAAUGACACACUCAUAUGAUGAGGACACUAGAGAAAGCCUGGCAUUUUGUAUGCUAACCUAAAAAGCCAGUUGAAAGGGAGAGGCAGUGGUGCAUUGCACAUGGUUGAACUGACUUGCCAACUCUUUGUCUAAUUUUAUCUGAUGGUAACAGCUGCACUCCCUGAGGGUGGCACACUGAGUCGGCGAUACCCAUUUCUAUGCUAAGGAUGUAGUGGGACUUCUGGAGUUCUGUGCAAACUCUCCCUUCCAGUGACCCAUCCUGACAACUCCCAGACACUAUGGUGUGCUUGCUCUCCGAUCCCUCUUCUCAACUCAGGGAGUUUACCACACCGUGCCCCAGUGCCCUGUCUUUACUGCAUCCUAGGAAUCAUCUCAGAGUCCCACUGCACAGCUUAGUGCACUGACACCCAGUGUCUAAUUUUAGUACUUACUAAUAUUGCUUCAUGUGUUUUAUCAAAUAUUUGGUUAUUUCAGACAAGGAAGGGCAUUUUGUCCCUGUAACUUCAUCUAACCCUGAACUUAAAAUCUCUUACACAUUUUCAAAAAUUAGAUCUUUAAAAUAAAAAUUUAGAAAUGUGCCUCUUUUCCCCCCUUUGCUAAUUGUAUUCUCACACCAUAAAACUAUCUUCAGGCUUUUUUUUUUCACAUUGAAAAAUGAGACACCAAUAUCCUGUCCAGUAUAUAGUCCUACUGUGUGAUACAAUUUCUAGAAGGUAAUAGUCACCCCAUAUAUAUUUGAUUUGAGUAAAUGCAGAAAAGGACAAAUAAAUGAAAUCCCAGAUAAACUCAGGGAGAAGAUACAUGAAGUAUAUUUACUGAACAGACAAUGGUUCUAAAUUUUGUUUUAUGUAGCAAAAUUAUACAGAAGUGAGAAAACGAAGGCGUGAAGGAAAUACAAGGAAGACUUGGUUUCUGGGCAGGCGUAGAAAGGGAGCUAAUGCUUCCUUCUUUCCAGAAGACACAGCAAGCACCCGAGCUUCCGGUUGCCCUCCUCCCGGCUGUCUCGGAAGGGGAGGGGCCACAUGGAUCUUCAAGUCCCUCCCUUUUCAUGUCAGUUCAUUCUCUGUUUUUUUCUCGGUGUCUCUCUGUCGCUCUCUCUGCUCACCUCCCUCUUCCCCCUCCCUGUCUCCCUUUUCUUCUACCUUCUCUCCCCCUUUUAUGGAGAAUAUUACAUGCACUAUAUUUUGGAGUCCAAAACUCAACAGCCAAUUAAUUGUGUUGAUACCAUUCUUAUAGGAUGACAAAACUAAGUAACUGCAAACUUGCCGGCUCUCCUUCGUGGGACCCUUUCUGCCUCUCCACUCCUGCUUCCCAGGGAGGCCCCAGAGAAUGGACAGUCCUGGGACUAUGUGGAGAGCUUCCGGUCUCAUUCACUACUGCUUCUCACAGACGCAUGGUUUCCACUGUUUUUUCCUCAGUAUGAUGUUUGGAAAGAUUGCCUUCAUGCAAGGUAUCACUGGUUUAGAAGCAAUUUGCAAUUUAAACACUGUAUCUGUCAUUUAAAAAAAUGUUAAUUUUUCUGUGGAUACAAACUUGGGCCUCAUUGGAAAAUAAAUAAAGCUUAGGGGCAAAUUCAUAGCACAAAGUAAUUAUACGUAGGAAGUCUUGUGUCUGUUUUAUUUCUAUCAGUUCAUGGAGCAGUGUUCCAAGAAAACAAAACAAACCACAAAAAAUCUCUGCCUUUUUGAAGUUAAUUCUUCCAUGAAAACCGUGAUGGGUCAGGACACCCUUGUGUAUUUUUGUACCUGCCCAUCUUGAUAUAUGUCUAAGAUUUUCUCAUGCUUUUAAUUCUGUAAACAUUCAAUCCUGAGUGAAUGCUUAUUUUUGAUACAAUCAAACCCGUGGCACACCUGUCUCUGAGGAUGAAGGGGCAGUGAGUCACCGAGAGGAGGAGGGUCACAUUAACCCUUGGAAGACAUGGGGGAUAAUUUAUGAGCUUGUUUUUGAAGGCAUAGAGUGAAAGCACUCAGGGUCUCCUGAACGAGGUCAUCUCCUUGCUCUCACCACAGGGAUGUAGAGCCUUUGCCCAGGUCCUAUCUUGACUGAUGUCAUGGGAUUUAGGAAAGCAGUUUUA